rnacentral:rRNA from 1 species
AUUGAACGCUGGCGGCAUGCCUUACACAUGCAAGUCGAACGGCAGCACGGGUGCUUGCACCUGGUGGCGAGUGGCGAACGGGUGAGUAAUACAUCGGAACGUCCCUUAUCGUGGGGGAUAACGCAGCGAAAGCUGUGCUAAUACCGCAUCCGCCCUGAGGGGGAAAGCGGGGGAUCGCAAGACCUCGCGCGAUUAGAGCGGCCGAUGCCUGCUCAGCGAGUUGGUGGGGUAAAAGCCCACCAAGGCGACGAUCAGUAGCUGGUCUGAGAGGACGAUCAGCCACACUGGGACUGAGACACGGCCCAGACUCCUACGGGAGGCAGCAGUGGGGAAUUUUGGACAAUGGGGGCAACCCUGAUCCAGCAAUGCCGCGUGAGUGAAGAAGGCCUUCGGGUUGUAAGGCUCUUUUGUCAGGGAAGAAACGCCGGCUCUAACACAGUCCGGGAAUGACGGUACCUGAAGAAUAAGCACCGGCUAACUACGUGCCAGCAGCCGCAGUAA